GACGAACGCUGGCGGCGUGCUUAACACAUGCAAGUCGAACGGAAAGGCCCUGCUUUUGUGGGGUGCUCGAGUGGCGAACGGGUGAGUAACACGUGAGUAACCUGCCCUUGACUUUGGGAUAACUUCAGGAAACUGGGGCUAAUACCGGAUAGGAGCUCCUGCUGCAUGGUGGGGGUUGGAAAGUUUCGGCGGUUGGGGAUGGACUCGCGGCUUGUCAGCUUGUUGGUGGGGUAGUGGCUUACCAAGGCUUUGACGGGUAGCCGGCCUGAGAGGGGGACCGGCAACAUUGGGACUGAGAUACGGCCCAGACUCCUACGGGAGGCAGCAGUGGGGAAUAUUGCACAAUGGGCGGAAGCCUAAUGCAGCAACGCCGCGUGCGGGAUGACGGCCUUCGGGUUGUAAACCGCUUUCGCCUGUGACGAAGCGUGAGUGACGGUAAUGGGUAAAGAAGCACCGGCUAACUACGUG
rnacentral:rRNA from 1 species